UUACUAAAUUUAAAAUCACCAUUUCAGAAGUUGUUAUUCCUAUUGUGAUCCUAAAUUCUCACUAACUCUGAAACAUUUUUUUGCAGUCCACUCUUAUCCAGGGAUCCAUCACCGUUCAUCUUCUAAACUAUUUUGAAAAUCACUGUAGUAUAGGGCUUUUUCAAUGAUUUAUUUUUCUACUCUCAUUUUUGUGUUCAACUUCUACGAAUAUUCAGGAAGAAGAAACUAAAGAUGCCACAGCUAAAUAGCUAGAGCGAUCUGUGAAUGAACGCCUCUCUCAAACUUUAUCAAGGAUCAUUGUUCUAGAGGCCCAGAGCAGACCAGGGCCAGUUAAGCAAGUUGCUCGAGAAGGAGAGGCAGAGAAUGCACAAGAGUAUCAGCAGCUAAGGAGGAAGCAUAUACCCUAGAAGGUCGAGCAAACCAACUUAAAGUGGAAAACAAGAACUGCAGAGAAAACAUAAGCAAGUGUUGCAAAAGUACUGCUCCACAACGAGCUUAUUCAAAAGGUUAAAAAUGUAUAGUUAGCUAUAAAAAAAUCAGCCACUCCUCACUGCAAUCAUUGUAACGGGAUCGCGUCUGUUAUGCUACCAAUUGUGGUGCUGAGAAGGUGAAAGGUGUAACCUCGGGGACCCACCGGAUGCAUGGCAGCCUCGGGGAGAUGGAGCUUCCGUUAGGGUUAUCGGGUCGAGUGUUAAUAUUAUUCUCUUUUUUU